AGUGGCGCACGGGUGCGUAACGCGUGGGAAUCUGCCCUUUGCUGCGGGAUAACAGUGAGAAAUCGCUGCUAAUACCGCAUAAUGACUACGGUCCAAAGAUUUAUCGGCAAAGGAUGAGCCCGCGUAAGAUUAGCUUGUUGGUGGGGUAAAAGCCUACCAAGGCGACGAUCUUUAGCUGGUCUGAGAGGAUGAUCAGCCACACUGGGACUGAGACACGGCCCAGACUCCUACGGGAGGCAGCAGUGGGGAAUAUUGGACAAUGGGCGAAAGCCUGAUCCAGCAAUGCCGCGUGAGUGAUGAAGGCCUUAGGGUUGUAAAGCUCUUUUACCAGGGAUGAUAAUGACAGUACCUGGAGAAUAAGCUCCGGCUAACUCCGUGCCAGCAGCCGCGGUAAUACGGAGGGAGCUAGCGUUGUUCGGAAUUACUGGGCGUAAAGCGCGCGUAGGCGGUGAUUCAAGUCAGAGGUGAAAGCCCGGGGCUCAACCCCGGAACUGCCUUUGAAACUAGAUUGCUAGAAUCUUGGAGAGGUCAGUGGAAUUCCGAGUGUAGAGGUGAAAUUCGUAGAUAUUCGGAAGAACACCAGUGGCGAAGCGACUGACUGGACAAGUAUUGACGCUGAGUGCGAAAGCGUGGGGAGCAACAGGAUAGAUACCCUGUUAGUCCACGCGU
rnacentral:rRNA from 1 species